UACGGGGGGAGCAAGCGUUGUUCGGAUUUACUGGGCGUAAAGGGCGCGUAGGCGGGAUGGCAAGUCGGUCGUGAAAUCCCUCGGCUCAACUGAGGAUCGUCGAUCGAUACUGCCGUUCUUGAGGAUUGCAGAGGAGACUGGAAUUCCCGGUGUAGCGGUGAAAUGUGUAGAGAUCGGGAGGAACACCGGUGGCGAAGGCGGGUCUCUGGACAGUUCCUGACACUGAGACACGAAGGCCAGGGGAGCAAACGGG
rnacentral:rRNA from 1 species